UUGGAGGGCAAGUCUGGUGCCAGCAGCCGCGGUAAUUCCAGCUCCAAUAGCGUAUAUUAAAGUUGUUGCAGUUAAAAAGCUCGUAGUUGAAUUUCGGGAUCAAUGUUUCGGUCAUGCCGUUGGUAUGUACUGAUAUUAUUGGUUUCUCACCUUCUAAAGAACCGUAAUGCCAUUAAUUUGGUGUCACGGGGAAUUAGGACUGUUACCUUGAAAAAAUUAGAGUGUUUAAAGCAGGCUCGCGCUUGAAUACAUUAGCAUGGAAUAAUGAAAUAGGACGUUUGACCCUAUUUUGUUGGUUUCUAGGAUCGACGUAAUGAUUAAUAGGGAUAGUUGGGGGCAUUAGUAUUCAAUUGUCAGAGGUGAAAUUCUUGGAUUUAUUGAAGACUAACUACUGCGAAAGCAUUUGCCAAGGAUGUUUUCAUUAAUCAAGAACGAAAGUUAGGGGAUCGAAGACGAUCAGAUACCGUCGUAGUCUUAACCAUAAACUAUGCCGACUAGGGAUCGGAUGAUGUUAAUUUUUUAAUGACUCAUUCGGCGCCUUACGGGAAAC
rnacentral:rRNA from 1 species